ACACACCACCACCAGCAUUAUGUCCAUGAGAGGGGGGGCAGGAGGACAAGUUUUCUUUCUGUUGUGGCUGUUUAAUAAAAUGACAGAAAUGAUAAAGAAGUGAAAAUAAUCUCUGGUGGGCUGAAGGCUGCAACGUCUUCCUGUCGCUGCUCACGUUAAGAGGGAAUGCGAGCAAGAUUUGCCGUGUCUCGGCCACUGUUCCUUUUGAUUUAUAUUAACAGUACAAAUGCUAACUUAACAAAGCAAUUAUGCUUAAAUUUUCUCUGAAAAGUAUUCCAGCUUUUUAGGAAAUGUCUGAAAUGUAUAAAUGAGGUCACUUAUUUUGGCUCUGGUAGUGUAUAGCUGCCUUUUGGCAAACGUUUAUGCAACAAUGUGCAAUGUGUUGAUUUUAUUUUUUGGAAAAGGGCUGGUGUGACAUGUGGAGUGAGUGAGUGUUGGUUGCAGUUUUUAUGCAUGGUUGUUGCAGAUUGAAAUAUACUGACUAGGGGAAUGAGAUACUAAUGGAAGUGAUUGUUUCACAUUGUUACUUAAGAGGAACUAUUUACUGUUCAUUGUUAGUUGUUGACUGAUAUGAGAAAUGUUAAAUCAUAUUGUGCUGGACUAUUCGGUUGCAUUACAACAUACCAGGGAACAAUGGGGCACAAGAGUGUCAUUUUGUUUCGUCUAUCUACAAAUUUAUUUAUUCAUUGCUGCCUUUUGUGAUCCAGAUGCUUACAAUGUUUAACCAAAGUGUCUGAAUCGGGUAGUUUCUUCACACACCAAAGUUUAAUAUUUUGGUACUGUUUGUUUUGUUACUGAGAGUAUGUAUGUAGUCAUAUUUUUGAGAGCGCUUAGCUUUUUAAAACAAUUUUUGCACAAGUCACCCGGAAAAAAAGACUAGAAUAUAUCUUUAUUUUUUAAGUGUUCAUUACACUUUUUGAUACUGAGCCUUUUUACAGCAUACUAGAAAUCUGUAGUACUUAAUUUAUAGCAUCCACUCUCAUGUAGUCGUCCUAAGUUUAAUUGGACUGUCUAUCUGGAGGAAUGUGUGUCAACAUUUGUUUGCUUUUUGGAUGACAGGGAUUUCUGUGGAACAUUGCAUAAAGAACACAAAUUAAAUGCUUUUGUUGUAUCCAGUAUGGUUGCAAUGAAGGACAUUAAAGAACAGUUCAGAAACAA